GACCAUAUACAUACUUGGAACUUCUCUCCACAGAAGGUGAAGCACUGCUACUUGGGAGGAGUGAUUAGCGCAACACCUGAAAAGCACCGUUGUUACUCUCUGCUCCUCACCACGGAGCUUCUCAGGCGCCCCGAGCAAAUCACCAUUUUCUCUUCGCUG